GUUUGACGUCACUCCUGAUCCCUGAACUUGCACCAACUACUCCUAUAAAUAGCUCAUGACGAAUCUAACACAAACCAUGCGCUUUGUUCAUCGGCCAGAAGAAACUUCCAGAUAACUCCAUCAAUGGCUACUGCCGUGCAAGAGAAGUUGCCCCCCGCGCUGGAUUCUACUGCGGAUCAGCCGCCUCUCUUUGAUGGAACUACGAGGUUGUAUAUUAGCGACAUUUGCCCAUUUGCGCAGCGUGUGUGGAUCACUAGAAAUUACAAGGUUGUUCCUCUCUCAUUUUUCGAUUUCUCUUCCUUUUUUUUUUCUUUUUGCAAAAUAUGUUCUUCGUAUAACUGCCUUUAUCAAAUUGAAAAAGAACCACGUAUGGAAUUAUAAAAUUGUUUUCUGAUUUUGAUGCUCGUUUUCAUGUUUAUUUUUAAGUUUUCAGUUUCAUUUUCCAUUUUUUGUUUUUCUUCCCUAAGAAACUUAUUUUACAAAUAAGUCCUCCAACUCGAAUGG